GCCUAGUUAGCUUAGUUGGUAGUGCGUCUGCCUUGUAAGCGCUAGGCCGCGGGUUCGAUUCCCGCUCGGGGAU
rnacentral:tRNA from 1 species